GAUGAAGAACGCAGCGAAAUGCGAUAAUUAAUGUGAAUUGCAGAAUUUAGUGAAUCAUCGAAUCUUUGAACGCACAUUGCGCCCCUUGGUAUUCCGGGGGGCAUGCCUGUUCGAGCGUCAUUUCAACCCUCAAGCUCUGCUUGGUCUUGGGCCGCGCCGGCGACGGCGGGCCUCAAAAACAGUGGCGGCGCCAUCUGGUUCCUCAGCGUAGUAAUUCUUCUCGCUGUUGGGCCCGGGUGGCCGCUGGCCAGCAACCCCAAAUUUUCUAUGGUUGACCUCGGAUCAGGUAGGGAUACCCGCUGAACUUAAGCAUAUCAAUAAGCGAGGA
rnacentral:misc_RNA from 1 species